rnacentral:rRNA from 1 species
AUUGAACGCUGGCGGCAGGCCUAACACAUGCAAAGUCGAACGGUAAACAGGAAGAAGCUUUGCUUCUUUGCUGACGAGUGGCGGACGGGUGAGUAAUGUCUGGGAAACUGCCUGAUGGAGGGGGAUAACUACUGGAAACGGUAGCUAAUACCGCAUAACGUCGCAAGACCAAAGAGGGGGACCUUCGGGCCUCUUGCCAUCGGAUGUGCCCAGAUGGGAUUAGCUAGUAGGUGGGGUAACGGCUCACCUAGGCGACGAUCCCUAGCUGGUCUGAGAGGAUGACCAGCCACACUGGAACUGAGACACGGUCCAGACUCCUACGGGAGGCAGCAGUGGGGGAUAUUGCACAAUGGGCGCAAGCCUGAUGCAGCCAUGCCGCGUGUAUGAAGAAGGCCUUCGGGUUGUAAAGUACUUUCAGCGGGGAGGAAGGGAGUAAAGUUAAUACCUUUGCUCAUUGACGUUACCCGCAGAAGAAGCACCGGCUAACUCCGUGCCAGCAGCCGCGGUAAUACGGAGGGUGCAAGCGUUAAUCGGAAUUACUGGGCGUAAAGCGCACGCAGGCGGUUUGUUAAGUCAGAUGUGAAAUCCCCGGGCUCAACCUGGGAACUGCAUCUGAUACUGGCAAGCUUGAGUCUCGUAGAGGGGGGUAGAAUUCCAGGUGUAGCGGUGAAAUGCGUAGAGAUCUGGAGGAAUACCGGUGGCGAAGGCGGCCCCCUGGACGAAGACUGACGCUCAGGUGCGAAAGCGUGGGGAGCAAACAGG